GCUCCCAUGGUGUAGUGGUCAUUGCGCUCGCCUUGCACGCGGGAGACCCAGGAUUCGAAUCCCGGAGGGAUCA
rnacentral:tRNA from 1 species